GUUAUUACAGCCCUUAUUAAGGGCAGCACUGAAAAUGCUAAAUCACCCUAACUUUAUAACA
rnacentral:tRNA from 1 species